UGAAUGCUCAACUACACCUAUUUUGUCGUAGUUUAAGCAAUCUUAUUAUAUAAAGUAGACAUGUUCUCUCUCCUGGUUAAGAAACAUCAUCAAAUAGUCUCAUCUGUGUGUGACACUUGUCCCACCAUCUUAAACGAUGCGUUUCAUUAACUCCAUUCAAUGAGAUACGUGGGCUUCGUUUUGUGUUGGCAGUGCUCGAUAAUGUCCACAAGGACCCAGCCCCUUAUCGAUAAUUUAGGGUUCAUCACAAUCUUCGAUCUCCGCAAUUAGAAACUCUGAGAUGCAGAGGUCGGCGUGACGAUUCCGUUCGUUGGAGUUUCGAUUACGUCCUUUCACCUUCGUUCCAUCCAUUGAAACGAGACAACUUCCAGAUCCAUCACAUUAAACACGUUCUUAACUGCUGUAGCCAUGAACUACAAUGUGUGUGAAUCUUCUUAGAUGCAGUGUUUCUAAGGGUAUAAGAAGCAUUCGGAGCUUGAAACGACGGUGUUAGGCCAUUCCAGGAUGCAACAGGUCUUGAAUUGAUUCAUCUCGGCGGUGGCAGUUUUGGCAACUAACGAUGCUAACUCCCGAGAACGCUGGUGAUUUCACGUCGUUGCUUGAGCCUCCACCUACACAAGCAGUGGAGCUUCUCCAUUUCACUGAUUUGCCUUUGUUGUAUUUUCGAGCACUGGCCCUUACGAAAUCGUUUUAGAUAUCUCCACCGCUUCACCGCUACUGAACAUUGACUAGCCAGAACAAUCAGUCUCGCAAGAGAAAAUGACUCGACAAGAAGUUCCUUUGAGACAUUACAGGUCUGGAAUUGCAUUGGAUGAGAGAUAGCCCAGCUUGAGGAAAAGAGGAGAAAAGGAGUGUGAUUUGGAGUCUUUCGCGCAGAACAGUCGAGCAGAGCAGCAUGGGUGCCUGCUCCAGCGGCAGAGAUAAAAAAAAAAAGAAGUUUCCAAAUAUUUCGGGAUUUGCCCUAGAUUUCCUAUUUUUCCCUAUAGCCGCCUGUGGCUCCUAUAUAUAUAGUCUCCUAUUAUUUACUUGAGACCUACCUUAGUUUUUACGCAAGAAAAGAUCUGAGAGAGCUUUGAUUUUAGCGAUUGCUACUUGUAAGGGAGGAGGCCUCAUCUAUCUCAUAGAGAAGAUUAUCCUGAACCCUCUGAUUUUUAUUAUCUAUUAUAUGCAGUAUUAUUCA